rnacentral:rRNA from 1 species
AAAGUCGUAACAAGGUUUCCGUAGGUGAACCUGCGGAAGGAUCAUUACCGUGAGAUAUAGGAUGUGUUUCCCAAACACAUUGCUGGCUUUACACUGUGAACUGUAGGCUCUGUUAAGAGUUGCUUGCCAAGUGGCCACUAUAGUGAGGUAACCCCGAGAGAGCAAGGGUUUUGAACAGAACAGUGCUUCGACUGUCUCGCCUCACUGGUCAGUUGGUCUCGUCUUCUCUUGUGAAACACUUGUAACACAACGUUCCAAUAUGUGGCUUGUCUGUCUGUCUGUCGGGAAAAACGAAAGGUAGUAAAUUAUACUAGCCAAAGGUAGCGAAAGGUUAAAAAGCAAUAACUGCUAACGGUGGAUCUCUAGGCUCGUGUAUCGAUGAAGAACGUAGCUAUGUGCGAUAAGUAAUGUGAAUUGCAGAAUGAAGUGAAUCAUCGAAUCUUUGAACGCAAAUUGCGCUCUCUGGAUCUCCAAGGAGCAUGUCUGUCUGAGUGUCGUGCAAUAUCAAACACACUUAGGUGUGGCUGGAGAGUUCAAGUGUCCUUUGCACACUCGUCUCUCGACGUGGGUUUGAAGUGACUGAUGGCACAACGUGUACAGUCAAGGCUCAACUAGCUUCUGUCCUUGAACUCGUCUCUUGUGACUGUCGACGGUUAAGAUCUCAGACCUCAGAUCAGGCAAAAUUACCCGCUGAAUUUAAGCAUAUCAAUAAGCGGAGGAAAUCAC